AUGAACACGCCUGAGCAGGGAGGUGAGGGAAGGUCAGCCAGCAGCACCAGCCCCUGGGGCAGAGAGAGGGCUGAGUGUGACUGCAGCAGCCCAGCAGGAUGCUGGCAUGGGGAACAGUGUAGUGCAAGAGGAACCACAAAGGCAAGGGGACACAUGCAGAGUAACCACAGAAGGUUACUGCAACAAGCACUGGAAAAUGCUGGAGUACAGGAUUUCCAGGCCAGGGAUUCAGUUGGGAUGUUAAUGUCAGUUGGAAAUGAGACAUCAUAUUGAAAAGUUAGUUGAUAUUCAGGACACUGAUAUAUCCUCACAACAAUUUUGUGUCACUUGUACAAAACCCAGAGACUUGGUAAUGCAGUAAGAUAAAUGUAGUGCCUGAUUACAGUGGAUGUAUUGGACUUAUUAAAGGCAUCUCUUAUCAUGAGGCUCUGUGUAUCUGCAAUAAUAACCACCAUAUGUCAGGUAAGACAAAGAUAAUGUGAGCCAGAUCAUUUUCCCAUUGUUAAAACUUUCAAAAUCUAAAAGCUACAAAUGUCUUAAUUAUUCAAUUUUGCUACAUCUACUGCUGGUAGCUGGAGGGAACAUCUUUCUGAUGUUCAGUCUUUGCUCUUGUCUAACUGAUAACAGUCUGUGUGGCAGAGUUUUAAAUGCUAUAGCCAUUUAAAGAAGCAAGAAUUGUACACAGUCAUUGCCCAUCUUGCAUUUCCAUGCAGCAGGAUUUUACCACAUGAAACUGCAGUUCAGAUGUUCCCAUCUUGAACAAACAGAUAAGUCUUGUCGUUUGCUUUGAACUUUAAGGGAAUUUAACAGUGGUGAAGCUGUGAGAGGCACCAGCCUGUCCUGUGUCUGACUGUACAGUGUUGCUGUUGUACAGUUGCCUAUCGAAAUGCUUCCCCUUGGAACCGGCAGAAACCUUGAAUUCCCUCCCCAGCCCCCACCCUGUGGGUCUGUCAGCUGCAGACCAAGCCCCAGCCAGAUCACAAGAACAUCCUGAAUCUGUCACAAUAAUUUGCAUUUCCUUGCCAAAGAUUUUAUCUGCUGGGGGUGCAAAUUGUGCCAUCGAGGUUGCUGGUGUUGAAAAAUCUGCACCUUUCUGCUCCCCAGCUCUUCCUUUCCCAGCUAGGUUAAUUUAUCCAGAAGAAUUAAUUGAAGGAACAAAGACGACAAGUUAGGCCACACAGCAAGACAGCACCACUCUGAACAUCUGCACAGUUUGUGUAUUUGAUUAGGUACCUCAGCACUGGCAGAUUAUUGUUGUUAAAAGCAAAUCUUUCUUUUGCCAUUUUCAUACAAGACUCUCUCCUGCCAUUCUGCAGAUGUUUGUUCUCUGUAUCCCCACAUGGUUUAAAAAAAUAACGAAUGAUGAUAGUGAAAAUUACACUUGCUCAUUCAAACCUCUUGCUGUUUACAUAUAAGAAGAAUAAUGUGCUGGGUGCAAUGACCUAAUGAUAGAUAUGACAUGGCCUUCAGCAAGAGCUGGAUGGGACCCUCAAAAUCUGCUGCCUUCACACAAAUUGUCCUCCAAUAUAUAUAAUAAAACCUUCUUUUGUUUAUAAUGACA
ensembl:lncRNA